rnacentral:misc_RNA from 1 species
CAUGAAAAUCGCAAUCGAUAAGCCACGGACCGCAGGCACGUACCAGAGAAAAAGCCGUAAUUUUCGUGAAAAGCAACCAGAUAAACCAGAAAAAUCAAGAAACUGUUGACCAAAAGAACAAUCUUCACGGGCAAUGUCCAAGAAAAGUCAGCUGCUUGUGGUAACGUAGUGAACAAGAAUUGGCUUGGUAAAAGCGUAAAGAGAGAGCGUAGCACUCUACUAUUCAAUAACAUAGUAGCCAUAGUAGACAAAGCCCCAAAAUGCAGCCACCGCCGCGAAAGGGUAACUAUGUGAAAUUCUUGAAGAAUCUGCACACGGAGCAGGUGGCCAAGUUGCAGCUGAAAAACCAGCAUGAGUGCGACCUGCUAGAGGACAUACGACAGUUCACCAUCAAGCGAUCGGCCAUCGAGAAGUCGUAUAGUGAGGCCCUCCUGAAGAUCUCGUCGCAGUAUCUCAACAAGAAGAUACCCAACAUUCCUGACAUCAAGAUGGAGGGCAUGGAAGAGCGUUGGAACAUGUGGAGUGUGUGGCGCACAGUUCUCGAGGAGAAUGAGAAGCUGGCCCGUGCCCGCCUGGCCGCCAUCGAGGUGUUCCAGCAGCAAAUCGCCGACGAAGCCAAGGUCCUCAGGGACUACAAAUUGGCUAUUGCCAAGAGAUCGCUUUCAGGCAUCGUCAACGUGCAGAAGGAACUCCAUUUGAGUGUGGGCGAUGUGGACAAGACAAAGAAGUCGUAUUUUGAUGAGGAGCACUGUGCCCACGAUGUGCGCGACAAAGCUCGCGACAUCGAGGAGAAGCUGAAGAAGAAAAAAGGCUCCUUUUUCCAGUCGAUCACAUCGCUGCAGAAGAACAGCGCACGGGUCACCUCGCGGAAAGAGCUGCUCGAAGAGAAGUCGAGUGGAGCUCGAAACGAUUACAUACUCAGCCUGGCCGCCGCCAAUGCUCAUCAGAAUCGUUACUUUACAGUCGAUCUGCAGACCACGAUGACCACCAUGGAGAACUAUGUGUUCGAGCGAGUGGCCGAGUACCUAAUGCUAAUGGGACGCACAGAGCUGCUGACCUGCUCGGCCACGCAGAACAGUUUCGGGAAGAUUCGCGAUCAGGCCCAGCAGCUGACGCGGGAAUACAAUCUGCAGUGCUGCUAUCUGUUCUAUCCGGUGCUUAAGCAGCAUAUCCAGUAUGAUUUUGAGGCUUGUGACAACGAUCCGGUGAGAAAGGUGACCACAGAGCAUGAUUCGGCCACGGAGACGCUCACCAAGGAGGCCAAGAACUUGGCGGGACGGGUGGUUAAGGAGAACGCCUCCAUAAGGGAGAACGCCAAGAAGCUGGCCCUCUGUCAGUCGCUGAGGGACUCGGGACAGCGAUCCGAUCCCAACGAUCCUAAUGGUCCCGAUCUGGACACCAAGAUCGAGGAGUUCCGUGAUCAGAUACGCCGCUCCGAGACCGAGAAGGCCAAGGCCGAGGCCUGUCUGCAGUGCCUGCGCGACGGCGGCAUCAAUGUGGACGAGUGGGUGCAGGAGGCAGAGAUUAUGGGCGUGCAGGAGCUAACGCGCUCGGCCAGCUCCAUAUCGAUGCGCACCGAUGCCUCGGGCCAGGGCGAGAAUCCUAGCUCAGAUUCCUUCUACGACAGCGACAAAGAUGAGGCGGCCGGCGGUGCCUCGGCGUUUGCUCAGACAAAGCCCAAGGCUGAGACGCAGCUCUCUAGGGAUCGCACAUUCAGCGACAGCGAUGAUGAGCCCGAGGAGCGUGCGGCAACUGGAUCUUCUGCAGCAGCUGCUGCUGCCGCAGCUCCUACCUCCGCAAUGGCAGCCAGUGGUAGAGCUGGAGCGUGGGACGAUCCAACCGAGGUGAAUUGGGGAGGCGAGGAGGAGGAGGACAAGGACGAACCGAUUGUACCCGAGCCCAAAGAAGCAAUCUUCAAGUGCACCGCACUCUACAGCUACACGGGGCAAAAUCCCGAUGAGCUGACAAUUGUCGAGAACGAGCAGCUCGAGGUGGUCGGCGAGGGUGACGGCGAUGGGUGGCUGCGGGCCCGCAACUAUCGGGGAGAGGAGGGCUAUGUGCCGCACAAUUAUCUGGACAUUGACCAGGAGACGGCUGGCGGCGCUUUUAAUGGUACUGGUUCCGCCAAUCAAUUGCGCUCUCAAAUCUCAUUCUCAUCUGUCGAUUACACCGUUGACAACGAAGAUCAAACGGUGGACUCGAUGCAAUCCCCCGACCAGGUAUCGGUCAUAAUGGCCCCCCAGAAGCAGCUCAAGUCCGACGUCGAAUGGUGCAUUGCGCUCUACGACUACGAUGCCACCGCCGAGGAUGAGCUCACCUUCGAGGAGGGCGACAAGAUCAAGAUCGUCACCAAGACGGCCCACGGCGUCGACGAUGGCUGGUGGGAGGGCGAGCUAGAUGGAAAGUUUGGCAACUUCCCUUCCCUGGUCGUCGAGGAGUGCGACGAAAUGGGCGAACCGCUGAGCGAGGGCGGCGACGAAUCACCACCCCCAAUGGCAGCCCCGAACUUUGCCCUGCCCCCGGCACCAGCACUACCCCCAGAGUAUGCCCACGAGCUGGAAUUGGAGCUUACAGAGGAUAUGUUUGGCUCGCAGGAUACGGCAGAUGAAGAUAGCGGCUAUAUACCCAACGGUGCGGCUGUUCCGAGUAUGCCUCCGCCAGGUAAAUGUCCACAUACCAGUACUGCCCCCCCGUCAGCACCUACUCUUUGGUUUCACCUCUGUCUUUAUCUAUUUCUAUAUCUAUAUAAAUAUGUAUAUCUAUCACUCGAUCUCCGAUUCCUUUAGUACCAAAAGCAAUUGUAUAAUUUUCCAUUUUCCACCGAUAAACAAAAAAAAGAAUACAUAUCGAAAAGUAUUGUUAUACCUGCUUCUAUAUUCUCUAGAGGUAAAACUUAAUCUCCUCUCCAAAACUGCAGCUCGUCUAAAUACUAAUACUACUACUAAUACUAUCACAACAUAAAACAAAUAACCAUCCACCCAACCACCACCACAAUUACUGUAACUACUCUCCACUCUCUACACUCUUCGUUAAUGUGUCUCUGUCUUCAAAAAUUGAAAAACAAAACGUGUCUCCCCAGCCAGUCCCCAGACGAAAGCCAUCCGAAGAAUUAUUAUACCCUACGAUUUUUUACAGUGUUCUCUCUACUCUUCUUAGGCUGCUCUGCUUAUCCAACGUGUGUCGUGUCAGUGUAUCGAUGUUUCUUGUCCUGUUAUCGAUUACAAUUUUCGAUUUAUUUCUUUUUGCAGCUUCUCUUUUUUUUCUAUAAUCUAUUAUCAAUAUAUUGUUGAGUGUAUAUGGCACUGAUUUUUUAUUGAAAGCUUACGAUUGAUUUCAAUAAUUAUCACUUUUGUGUUUUUUUUUCAUUGCUGUGUGUUUUCUGCAUCGGUUGUUGUUAUUUCUCUCCGUGUAAUUGCGUGUCUUUCUGUCAUUUAAGGCCAGAACCAAAGCCAAACCACUGCCAAGAAGGUACUCAUCCAAGAGCCUGGCGUGGAGGACGAUCUCAGUGACGAUGGGCAGCCACCGCCAUCUUUGCCGCCGCCCCAGCUGCAAAAGGCUGCUG